rnacentral:rRNA from 1 species
AAUCAACGCUGGCGGCGUGCCUCAGACAUGCAAGUCGAACGCGAAAGUCCCCUUCGGGGGACGAAGUAGAGUGGCGCACGGGUGAGUAACACGUAGGUAAUCUACCUUCGGAUGGGGAAGUAACAACCGGAAACGGUUGCUAAUACCGCAUAAUGCAGCGGCACCUAAUGGUGACAGUUGUUAAAGCGGGGGAUUGAAAGACCUCGCGUCUGAAGAGGAGCCUGCGGCGGAUUAGCUUGUUGGAGGGUAACGGCCUACCAAGGCGACGAUCCGUAGCCGGCCUGAGAGGGCGGUCGGCCACACUGACACUGACAUACGGGUCAGACUCCUACGGGAGGCAGCAGUCGGGAA